UCCGGUUUGUCACCGGCAGUCUCGCAUGAGUCCCCAACUAAAUGAUGGCAACAUGCGACAGGGGUUGCGCUCGUUGCGGGACUUAACCCGACAUCUCACGAUACGAGCUGACGACAGCCAUGCAGCACCUGUCUCCCGGCCCCCGAAGGGGAAGCCCUAUCUCUAGGGCGGUCCGAGGAUGUCAAGUCCAGGUAAGGUUCUUCGCGUUGCAUCGAAUUAAACCACAUGCUCCACCGCUUGUGCGGGCCCCCGUCAAUUCCUUUGAGUUUUAAUCUUGCGACCGUACUUCCCAGGCGGGGUACUUAAUGCGUUAGCGUCGACACUGCAGGGGUCAAUUCCUGCAACAUCUAGUACCCAUCGUUUACAGCGUGGACUAC
rnacentral:misc_RNA from 1 species